rnacentral:rRNA from 1 species
UACGGAGGGGACUAGCGUUGUUCGGAAUUACUGGGCGUAAAGCGCGCGUAGGCGGAUUUGCAAGUCGGGGGUGAAAGCCCGAGGCUCAACCUCGGAACUGCCCUCGAUACUGCAAAUCUCGAGUCCGAGAGAGGUGAGUGGAAUUCCUAGUGUAGAGGUGAAAUUCGUAGAUAUUCGGAAGAACACCAGUGGCGAAGGCGACUCGCUGGACAAGUAUUGACGCUGAGGUGCGAAAGCGUGGGGAGCAAACAGG